rnacentral:rRNA from 1 species
AUUGAACGCUGGCGGCAUGCCUAACACAUGCAAGUCGAGCGAGAGGCGGACGGGUGAGUAAUGUCUGGGAAACUGCCUGAUGGAGGGGGAUAACUACAGGUAACGGUGGCUAAUACCGCCUACCAUCUGAUCUGCCCCGAUGGGAUUAGCUAGUAGGUGGGGUAACGGCUCACCUAGGCGAGGAGCCCUAGCUGGUCUGAGAGGAUGACCAGCCACACGGGAACUGAGACACGGUCCAGACUCCUCCGGGAGGCAGCAGUGGGGAAUAUUGCACAAUGGGGGCAAGCCUGAUACGGCCAUGCCGCGUGGGUGAGGAAGGCCUUCGGGUUGUAAAGCACUUUCAGCGGGGAGGCGUUACCCGCAGAAGAAGCACCGGCUAACUCCGUGCCAGCAGCCGCGGUAAUUC